CCUACGGGUGGCAGCAGUGAGGAAUAUUGGUCAAUGGGCGCGAGCCUGAACCAGCCAAGUAGCGUGAAGGAUGACUGCCCUACGGGUUGUAAACUUCUUUUAUAAAGGAAUAAAGUGAGGCACGUGUGCCUUUUUGUAUGUACUUUAUGAAUAAGCAUCGGCUAACUCCGUGCCAGCAGCCGCGGUAAUACGGAGGAUCCGAGCGUUAUCCGGAUUUAUUGGGUUUAAAGGGUGCGUAGAUGGGUUGUUAAGUCAGUUGUGAAAGUUUGCGGCUCAACCGUAAAAUUGCAAUUGAUACUGGCAGGCUUGAGUACAGUUGAGGUAGGCGGAAUGCGUGGUGUAGCGGUGAAAUGCUUAGAUAUCACGAAGAACUCCGAUUGCGAAGGCAGCUUACUAAAGUGCAACUGACAUUGAGGCUCGAAAGUGUGGGUAUCAAACAGGAUUAGAUACCCGGGUAGUC
rnacentral:rRNA from 1 species